rnacentral:rRNA from 1 species
UACGUAGGGGGCAAGCGUUGUCCGGAAUCAUUGGGCGUAAAGAGCGUGUAGGCGGCUCGGUAAGUCCGCUGUGAAAGUCCAGGGCUCAACCCUGGAAUGCCGGUGGAAACUGUCGAGCUAGAGUCCGGAAGAGGCGAGUGGAAUUCCUGGUGUAGCGGUGAAAUGCGCAGAUAUCAGGAGGAACACCAAUGGCGAAGGCAGCUCGCUGGGACGGUACUGACGCUGAGACGCGAAAGCGUGAGGAGCAAACAGG